rnacentral:rRNA from 1 species
UACAGAGGGGGCAAGCGUUGUUCGGAAUUACUGGGCGUAAAGGGCGCGUAGGCGGCCGCCUAAGUCAGACGUGAAAUCCCUCGGCUCAACCGGGGAACUGCGUCUGAUACUGGGUGGCUUGAAUCCGGGAGAGGGAUGCGGAAUUCCAGGUGUAGCGGUGAAAUGCGUAGAUAUCAAGCGGAACACCGGUGGCGAAGGCGGCCUUCUGGACAGUGACUGACGCUGAGACGCGAAAGCGUGGGGAGCAAACAGG